GGCAGGGCAGGCUAGAUGUGCCCUCAGCUCCUGCUCAGAGACUCCAGGGAUUCCCUGGAGCAAAGAAAAGGGACCUUGGCCGAUGCUCUUGGACACAGGGACCAUUCCCAGCACCUCAGGCUGGUGACUCCCUUGCCCUGGGCACCUGUCCCCAUGUGCAGCCCCAGGUCCUUGUCCUGUCCCAGGACCCUCUCAGAGCUCAGGCUUCCUCUGCUCAGGGUCAGGAUCUCCACCCAGGGCUGCUCAUCCUGCCUUGAGAUAGAAACCCUAAACCUUCAGAAAUCAGCCCAACCCCUGCACCUGGGGCUGCUCCUCCUGCCUUGGACACAGAAACCCUAAACCUUCAGAAAUCAGCGCAAACCCUGCACUGGGAGCUGCUCCUCCUGCCUUGGAGACAGAAAACCUAAACCUUCAGAAAUCAGCCCAAACCCUGCACCUGGGGCUGCUCCUCCUGCCUUGGACACAGAAACCCUAAACCUUCAGAAAUCAGCCCAAACCCUGCACCUGUGACUGUUCCUCCUGCCUUGGAGACAGAAACCCUAAACCUUCAGAAAUCAGCCCAAACCCUGCACCUGGGGCUGCUCCUCCUGCCUUGGACACAGAAACCCUAAACCUUCAG